GAUAGUACUAUGAUGUUAGAUGGUCUAUCUAAUGAAACAUGCUUGGUAUAAUUGGUUUUUAUUGUGUAGAAAGAUAGUACUAUGAUGUUAGAUGGUCUAUCUAAUGAAACAUGCUUGGUAUAAUUGGUUUUUAUUGUGUAGAAAGAUAGUACUAUGAUGUUAGAUGGUCUAUCUAAUGAAACAUGCUUGGUAUAAUUGGUUUUUAUUGUGUAGAAAGAUAGUACUAUGAUGUUAGAUGGUCUAUCUAAUGAAACAUGCUUGGUAUAAUUGGUUU
rnacentral:lncRNA from 1 species